rnacentral:rRNA from 1 species
UAAGGAAUAUUGGUCAAUGGACGGAAGUCUGAACCAGCCAUGCCGCGUGAAGGAUGAAAGCCCUCUGGGUUGUAAACUUCUUUUAUCUGGGAAGAAACCACCUUUUUCUAAGGGUGUUGACGGUACCAGAGGAAUAAGCACCGGCUAACUCCGUGCCAGCAGCCGCGGUAAUACGGAGGGUGCAAGCGUUAUCCGGAUUCACUGGGUUUAAAGGGUGCGUAGGCGGAUUAGUAAGUCCGUGGUGAAAUCUCCAAGCUUAACUUGGAAACUGCCAUGGAUACUAUUAGUCUUGAAUGUUGUGGAGGUUAGCGGAAUAUGUCAUGUAGCGGUGAAAUGCAUAGAUAUGACAUAGAACACCAAUUGCGAAGGCAGCUGGCUACACAAAUAUUGACGCUGAGGCACGAAAGCGUGGGGAUCAAACAG